GCCCCAGUGGUCUAGGGGUAUGAUUCACGCUUUGGGUCUUUGCGUGAGGUCCCGCGUUCAAAUCGCGGCUGGGGCC
rnacentral:tRNA from 1 species